GACGAACGCUGGCGGCGUGCUUAACACAUGCAAGUCUACGAGAAUUAAGUAGCAAUACUUUUAGUAAAGUGGCGCACGGGUGCGUAACACGUAAGCAAUCUACCCUUAGAUAUAGAAUAACACCGAGAAAUCGGUGCUAAUACUGUAUGAUGCAGCGGCACCGCAUGGUGAUGUUGUUAAAGCUCUUGAAGCGUCUAAGGAUGAGCUUGCGUCUGAUUAGCUAGUUGGUAGGGUAAUGGCCUACCAAGGCAACGAUCAGUAGCUGGUCUGAGAGGAUGAUCAGCCACACUGGAACUGAGACACGGUCCAGACUCCUACGGGUGGCAG
rnacentral:rRNA from 1 species